rnacentral:rRNA from 1 species
UACGUAGGGUGCAAGCGUUGUCCGGAAUUAUUGGGCGUAAAGAGCUCGUAGGCGGUCUGUCGCGUCGGAUGUGAAAACCCGGGGCUCAACUCCGGGCCUGCAUUCGAUACGGGCAGACUAGAGUGUGGUAGGGGAGACUGGAAUUCCUGGUGUAGCGGUGAAAUGCGCAGAUAUCAGGAGGAACACCGGUGGCGAAGGCGGGUCUCUAGGCCAAUACUGACGCUGAGGAGCGAAAGCGUGGGGAGCAAAC